AACCACAUCCUGUUGGAGCCCAGAGAAGUGCGGAUGCAGCCCGGGGCUCUUUCUUUCCUAGAACCCUGCCUGGGAGUGGCUUCCCUGAACUAAGGACAGAGACUUUGUCUUCGUUGCCUCUCGGCCUGUGGGCACUGAGCAUACAGUAGGUGCUCAGUAAAUGCUUGCAGGCCGAUGCCCAGAGCCAUUAGCCCUCAUCAUGAUGGACCCUGAAUCCGACACUAGCACCCGUGUGGAAGGAACGAGAGGGAGAUUUGGGGUCCGCAGAGGCAAACCACAGGAGGACGGAGUCGGAGACUGGAGCACCGCGGCCUUGAUCGGGGGACACCAGGGCUGCCGGCUGUGCCAGAAGGGGCUGAGGCUGGACCGGAUUCUCUCCGAGUUCCCAGAAGGAGCCAGUCCUGCCGACGCCUUGAUGCUGGACUCUGGCCUCCAGAAAUGUGCGAGGACAAACAUCUGCGGUUUCUAGGCCCCGCCUGUGGUCCUCUGUUGCAGCAGCCUGGACAGUCUGGACUGCCUGGACAGCAUGCAGAUGGGCUCUGCCCGCGGCUGCCCACGAGUUCCCACCGCCCGCCCGUCCGUGGGAGAGCCAGUCCUCGUAUGUGAAGCGUACCUGUAUCCCUUUACUCCGCGUACACAGGUGCCUUUGUCACUUCUCCUUUGACCUGGCUGGCACAUCUUACCGGUUUCUGCGCUAACAAUGAGUUGAAGGAAAUCUUGAACGCGCGUUCAUUUUAUAUCGGUAUCAGAGUCUGUUUAUUUCUUGUUGACACUAAUCUUUGAGCAUGAGUAGUUUAGUGAUUGUGAAACAGAAACUUCUGGAUACAAAAUCAGUCUCCUGGCUGUGACCCAAUCAUCUUCGCAGUUCUGAUUACCUGUGAUUAAGAAAAUAAAUAAGAACACCCAUUGGGGGAAGGCUUCCCUCCCCCGGGCACAGCAGCUUUAAAACCGAAAGGGAAGUGGGUGCUGUGAGCAGCUCUGUUCAGGCCUAAGGCCACGCAUGUGUGCCCCGUGGGGGAGACAUGCACCAGCGAAUCAGGAAACAGUGGUGACAGCCGUUCCGGGAGGCUGACUGGGGGUGCAGGGGUCACUUUUCUAAUGUGGGUGGGUCUGUGUCCCCUGCAGGAACGUGGCUGCAGCAAAGCCGGUCAGCCAGCGGUCAGCUCCAGCCCCUGUCCAGGCCCUGUGGGUCCUGCUGACCAGGCUGCGGUUGUUCCCAAACCAGUUCCCAGCCCCCGCUUGCCCUACUUCCUCUCACACCAGCUCCUUCCACCCCCUCACACCCACCUGCAGGCUCCCAGCCCAGGCUACUGACAUCAAUCAUGGCAAUCGCUAUUCCAGAGGUAUACGCGGUGGGUGGGGUCCGGUAUCGCCUGCCAUGCCUCACUCACCGGGCACCCAGAUAACCUGAGGCCAGGGAGCAGCCACUCGCCCUGACCCAUGCUCCCCGGGCCCCUGAGGCACCCAGGAGGACCACCCGGCCGCUUCUGCUCAGAGCCCAGCACCCCCGAGUCUGUGAAGAGGUCACAUCUGACCACGUUUCCAGGUGGCUGCCCAGGCGUGGGUUCAUGGCCGCUUCCGGUUUCCUCCUCGAGCUGAACCACACACCUGCUCUGUCCCGGGCUUUCUGGAGGGGUUUUCCGAAGUGAGACUGUGGGCUCCCUCCAGGGCUGGGGGCAGGAGGACACACGGGGAAGGUGGGCAAGCAGCCCCAGGCUGAGGGAGGCCUCCCCUCUGCAGCGUUUGUUCAUUCAUUUGUUCAUCGCUAACACUGUCUUGGGCAUCAGGGAAAACAGGUGUCUCUGGUCCACAUGCAGAAGAGCCACCACCGUGGCACGACUGGAUGACUCAGACCCCGGGCGGGGGGUAUGAUUUGGACACAGUCAUUGUCCAGGGACACAACUUUGCCUGGACCAGAGCUUCUCACCCCCAGGCCAUUUGAAACCCCAGGGGAUACUCGACAAAGUCCAGAGACAUUUUGGGUUGUUCCUUUCCAGCCCCGGCGAUGGUGGGGACAUGUCCAUGUCUGUGUCCCUCCGGUCACUCUCUCUGGCCCUCUCCCUCCCUGGGGGCAGCUGCUCUCAGCCCUCCCUGCCCCCACAUCGCCAUCCUGCCUGUCCUUCUGGGCCUGCACGUUUGUUGUGUUUGGAAGGAGCCACCAAGGAGGAGGAUGUCAACGUGCAAGUUCUCAGGGAAGCAGGCCCCGCAGCCUCCGUCAGUGUCUUCCGUCCGCAGGAAGAACCCAGGCCUGGGUGAUUCAUCGGGGCCUCAGGGCCGGGAGGCACUAAAUCUUCUGCAGAUGUGGUGGUGUGGGCUGUGUGGAUUUCGGAUGUGGGCCCAUAACAUAGCCACACUGCUGCAAAGCAAGUGAGUCUGAGGCAAGAAGAAGGCCCAACCUUGGGAGGCUGACCUGGAGGGCAGGCAGAGGCAGGUGGUAAGGACCUGCCUUACCUGUUGAGGUGACAGUGGGGGACAUAUUGCAAGGAAGGAGGCCCUGGAUCCUCAGGAUGUGGAUGGUGGGUAGAAGGGUGACAGCUAAUGGAUGUCCACCUGCACAGAUGCCCACCUGCAUGAGUGCCCACCUGCAUGAGUGCCCACUUGUACCAAUGUCCACCUGUACAGAUGUCCACAUGCAAAUGCCCAUCUGCACUGAUAUCCACCUGCACAGAUGCCUACCUGCAUGAAUACCCACUUGCCUGAAAGCCCACCUGCACCCAUGUCCACUGGCACAAAUGCCCACCUGCACCCGUGUCCACUGGCACAAAUGCCCACCUGCACAGAAGCCCACCCACACAAAUGCCCACCUGCAAAAAUGUCCGCCUGCACAGAUGUCCACCUGCAUGAAUGCCCACCUGUGUCCACAUGCACGAAUACCCACCUGCACAGAUGCCCACCUGCACGGAUGCCCACCUGUACAAAGGCCUACCUGCGUGAAUGUCCACCUGCAUGGAUGCCCACCCGCACGGAUGCCCACCUGCACAGUUAUCCAUCUGAACAGCCCUCUGGUGCCUCCUUUUGCUUGCACAUGUUCAAAUCCUCCCAGUCCUACAGUCGAUUGUUCCUAGUUGGGGUCAUUCUGGGCAUGUUAUUCUAAAACUUGUUUUUUCCCGUCUCCACAUCAAAGGAGAAAGGUCUAGCUUGCUUCUUUGCUAUAGAGCAGGGCCUGAGUGAGGUCAGGACCACAGAGCAGACCCUAUGAGUGUUGGUCAGGACACAGAGCAGGACCCCUUCAGGGUCUGGAAGAGGGUUCCCCAAGCUCCUGUUCAACCUGAGUGAGAGGCUCAGGCUGCCCCCAACACACUGCACAGAAAAAUGGGCCAUUGAUUCAGAGCCACCCACGCUAACAGCAGUUCAGCUGCAGCCCUCCGGCAGGCAGGUCCUGGGAACACUAGGAACCUGAGACCCUGUCCCUUCCUGAUAGCGGGGUGUGGUGACAUGAGGAGAGACUGGGUACCUCCAUUCUGCUCAUGAAAGUCACAGAGGGGACCGGGGACCCCAGGCCCCUAGCGAUACCAGCCCCCCACACAAUGCCUUUCUGGGAUACACCCCCCCAACACGGCCUGCCCAAGGCAUCAGGAGCUGUGUAGAGGAGUCAGCUGGGGGUGGCAGAGCCCCAGGGAACAAUCAUGGGUCGCUGGCAGAUGAGCCAUGCGCCCACACAGCACAGGCCCUCACCCCUGCAGCUGGGGGAGCCCUCCUUGGGAGCGGGCCCAGGAUCCGGGCAAAAUGACACAGACCGGAUCCAGGAGCAGACUGAGCAAAAGUGGCAAAAGUAUUCUCCAGGUUAAGGGAAUAUUUUCACCAACAGAGAGACCAGCUGUCCCUCCAGACCCAAGGGUUCCACAUCCCUGGAGGCAACCAAGCCAGAUGCAAAAUAUUUGAAAAAGAAAAAUGAAAAAAAGAACAAUACAGCAAUAAAAAAGAACACAAAUAAAAAAUACAGUAUAGCUAU